CCUACGGGAGGCAGCAGUGAGGAAUAUUGGUCAAUGGACGCAAGUCUGAACCAGCCAUGCCGCGUGCAGGAAGACGGCUCUAUGAGUUGUAAACUGCUUUUGUACGAGAGUAAACGCAGAUACGCGUAUCUUUCUGAAAGUAUCGUACGAAUAAGGAUCGGCUAACUCCGUGCCAGCAGCCGCGGUAAUACGGAGGAUUCAAGCGUUAUCCGGAUUUAUUGGGUUUAAAGGGUGCGUAGUCGGUCGGUUAAGUUAGAGGUGAAAUCCCGAGGCUUAACUGCGGAAUUGCCUUUGAUACUGGUAGGCUAGAGAGUAGUUGAGGUAGGCGGAAUGCAUGGUGUAGCGGUGAAAUGCUUAGAGAUCAUAAAGAACACCGAUUGCGAAGGCAGCUUACUAAGCUACUUCUGACGUUGAGGCACGAAAGCGUGGGGAGCAAACAGGAUUAGAUACCCGAGUAGUC
rnacentral:rRNA from 1 species